rnacentral:rRNA from 1 species
AGAGUUUGAUCAUGGCUCAGAUUGAACGCUGGCGGCAGGCCUAACACAUGCAAGUCGAGCGGAUGAGAAGAGCUUGCUCUUCGAUUCAGCGGCGGACGGGUGAGUAAUGCCUAGGAAUCUGCCUGGUAGUGGGGGACAACGUUUCGAAAGGAACGCUAAUACCGCAUACGUCCUACGGGAGAAAGCAGGGGACCUUCGGGCCUUGCGCUAUCAGAUGAGCCUAGGUCGGAUUAGCUAGUUGGUGAGGUAAUGGCUCACCAAGGCGACGAUCCGUAACUGGUCUGAGAGGAUGAUCAGUCACACUGGAACUGAGACACGGUCCAGACUCCUACGGGAGGCAGCAGUGGGGAAUAUUGGACAAUGGGCGAAAGCCUGAUCCAGCCAUGCCGCGUGUGUGAAGAAGGUCUUCGGAUUGUAAAGCACUUUAAGUUGGGAGGAAGGGCAUUAACUUAAUACGUUAGUGUUUUGACGUUACCGACAGAAUAAGCACCGGCUAACUCUGUGCCAGCAGCCGCGGUAAUACAGAGGGUGCAAGCGUUAAUCGGAAUUACUGGGCGUAAAGCGCGCGUAGGUGGUUUGUUAAGUUGGAUGUGAAAGCCCCGGGCUCAACCUGGGAACUGCAUCCAAAACUGGCAAGCUAGAGUACGGUAGAGGGUGGUGGAAUUUCCUGUGUAGCGGUGAAAUGCGUAGAUAUAGGAAGGAACACCAGUGGCGA